GUGUUUGAUGUCUUCAGGUACUCCACCAGGCUGAAGAGCGGAGAGAAAGCAAGCAACGCAGGCUGAGUGUGUCCUAUUUAGGAUUCAGGGUCAUUGUACAUGGCUCCAGGCUCUGACUGUGCUAAACACUGCAGCAGAACUGAUCUACAAUCAGAUCCACAACACUGACCUGAGAGCCGCUGUUAACAAGAGUGUCCAAACACAGCGAGCACAGGUGUAGAAGAGGAUCAGUGUGUUGGGAUCUGGGGCGACGUCCAAAAUCACCUGCUUCUCGGUUUAAAGCCCGAUCGAAAAUGGUUACAUGUUAUAAAGAAAAGGAUAAUGAGAAGGAAAGGAGGCGCUUGAUGAUUUCAUCUCUUGGAGUGCAUUUGUUUAAUAUAAAAGAGCAGCACGGACAUUCUUCGAAACAUCUCUUUUUGUGUCCCACAGAAGAAAAGUCAUGAUGCAGCAUGAAGAUAAGUA